rnacentral:rRNA from 1 species
AUUUGGACAUGGGCGCAAGCCUGNUCCAGCAAUGCCGCGUGAGUGAUGAAGGCCUUAGGGUUGUAAAGCUCUUUCGGCGGGGACGAUGAUGACGGUACCCGCAGAAGAAGCCCCGGCUAACUUCGUGCCAGCAGCCGCGGUAAUACGAAGGGGGCGAGCGUUGUUCGGAAUUACNUGGGCGUAAAGGGCGCGCAGGCNGGCGCCGGCAGUCGGGCGUGAAAGCCCCGGGCUCAACCUGGGAAUUGCGCUUGAUACUCCGGUGCUGGAGUUCGGGAGAGGAGAGUGGAAUUCCCAGUGUAGAGGUGAAAUUCGUAGAUAUUGGGAAGAACACCGGUGGCGAAGGCGGCUCUCUGGACCGAGACUGACGCUGAGGCGCGAAAGCGUGGGGAGCAAACAGGAUUAGAUACCCUGGUAGUCCACGCUGUAAACGAUGUGUGCUAGACGUUGGCGGGCCUAGCCUGUCAGUGUCGCAGCUAACGCGAUAAGCACACCGCCUGGGGAGUACGGCCGCAAGGUUAAAACUCAAAAAAAUUGACGGA